CCUACGGGUGGGCUGCAGUGGGGAAUAUUGGACAAUGGGCGAAAGCCUGAUCCAGCCAUGCCGCGUGUGUGAAGAAGGCCUUCGGGUUGUAAAGCACUUUCAGUGGGGAAGAAAGCCUUGGGGCUAAUACCCUCGAGGAAGGACAUCACCCACAGAAGAAGCACCGGCUAACUCCGUGCCAGCAGCCGCGGUAAUACGGAGGGUGCGAGCGUUAAUCGGAAUUACUGGGCGUAAAGCGCGCGUAGGCGGUCUGAUAAGCCGGUUGUGAAAGCCCCGGGCUCAACCUGGGAACGGCAUCCGGAACUGUCAGGCUAGAGUGCAGGAGAGGAAGGUAGAAUUCCCGGUGUAGCGGUGAAAUGCGUCGAGAUCGGGAGGAAUACCAGUGGCGAAGGCGGCCUUCUGGACUGACACUGACGCUGAGGUGCGAAAGCGUGGGUAGCAAACAGGAUUAGAUACCCUAGUAGUC
rnacentral:rRNA from 1 species